AAUUUCUAUAUGUACAACUCAGUAAUAUUGAUUAUAUUCUUUGAGUUUUGCAACCAUUCUCACCCUCCCUUUCUGAGUUGUUCCUUCCGUGUUAACAGAAGCUCACUGCCCCCUAAAGUUCCUGUCUAAUCUUUUACGUUGCUGUUGUCAGUUUUAUCCCAUAUAGAUGGACCUUAAAAGAGCACAAUGCAGAGCGACUCUCUUUCAGUAUAGAUUUCCUUCCAGUGAUUUCUGCAAAUGCUGGUGUUAGCCCAGGGCAGGGCGGGGCUGGAUACUGCUGCAGUACUCUGCCUGUCUUCUCCAGUAUGGCUCUCUGCCCCUCACUGGUGCUUUCUUCCCUGCCAGGGCUGCAUCCUCUCUGCCCUGGACAGCCCAUGAGAGGGCAGUUGCUGGCAAGACUCACUUCCUGCUGGGUUCCAAGAAGAGAGGAGAUGGCUCCUCGUGCAGGCCCAUCUCACUUCCUGUGCAACUCCAUUAAGCCUCCUCCUGAAAGCAGCAGUUGUCUCUGCUUGAGUGCUUCCUGACACCUGGGACCUGACAGGGAGAGAAGACCCGCCUCCCAGGACAGAAUGCUUCCUGCCUGGCUCAGGAAUUAACUCGGAAGAAAAACAAUGCGCUGGGAAGAGCUGCCCAAAGAGGUGGAAGCAGGGAGAUGGACUGGAUUGAAAAGCUCUUGCUAGAUGUAUAUCUGCAGGUCCUGAGGACGACUUUGAUGGGAAGACCCCAGAGAGAGGAAGAGACCUUUGAACCCUGGAGGGGGUGGAAGAGUAGCAGACCACCCUGCUUGGAGCCUGACCACCAGUAGCAGGAAUUUCUACCAAGCCUGGCUGUCCACCAAACCAAGGGCAGCAGUUUGUGCUGGGACAAUAGUGAGGGCUGAGAGUUGACACCACUUUUCCCAUUCUAAGAGAAAAACCGUGGUGUCCGGGCAGGGUCAGGUCCCUGGCACUGUCAGCUAUGGCUAAGGGUAGUCACACAGGCAAGGCGGACAGAAGCCUCCUGAGACACUCUCUGAGUGCUGCAGCUCCUUGAAGUCAACCAACUUGGAGCUGACCCCCAUGAGGGGGCUGGUCCCUAGGCAUCUUCCCAGGCAUGCCAGGGCAAGCCAGCCUUGAACCAGGCACACUCUGUGCCGGUGGGUAGCACCACUGCUGACCAGUCCCAGAGUCCAGGCUGUCCCCACCCACAGCUUUGGCUGCGCUCAUUUGUCAUCAUUCGAAGAGCUCCUGGGACCCUGGUGGCGCAGUGGUUAGGAGCUCGGCUACUAACCUUAAGUCUGCAGUUUGAAUCCACAAGCUGCUCCUUGGAAACCCUAUGGGGCAGUUCUACUCUGUUCUACAGGGUUGCUAGGAGUCGGAAUUGCCUCGACGGCAACAGAUUUUGUAAAGAGCACCCAUUGUAUGGCUGUGUUGGGCCCACAGCUCCCUCUGUCCUGGGCCUCAGCACCAGGCUGGGCACGCUGGGGGUGUAUGGGUUGGUUCUCAAGUCCAGUGUCCCUGCUAAAAUUAGAGGCUGUGGAAAAAGCAUGGUCUUUGGUGUCAGGACCGUUUACAUGUCUGGUUACAGCUUAAUCCAGGUGUGAUUCUGGUCGAAUCACCUAACUCCUACGAAUGUCUCCUAAAUCCACGGCCGUCAAGUCAAUUCCGACACACGACAGCCCUAUAGGACAGAGCAGAACAGUAAUCUUCAUGGGAACAGACUGCCACAUCCUUUUCCCACGUAGCGACUGGUAGAUUCAAACUGAGCAUUUAACCAACUGGGUGUUUAACCACUGUGCCACCAGGGCUCCUAUCUCUCCUACAUCUUAGAAAAUGAUGUUACCAGUUUCAUAGGGUGGCUGUGAGAGCCAAAUGAGGUAAGGUACGCAAGUGUCUAAUGCAAUGCCCAGCUGAUAAAUGGGCUUGAUAAACGGAAGAUAUUGCUAUCAUUAACUGCAGAGCCAACUUGCACCCUAAUCUUGCUUUUGUCUCUUCUUUAAUUUCCAAAAUCACUGCCUCCAGCCCACAUCUCUUACCUAGAGACUUGAGUAUCCAAUCACUCCCAGACACACCCACCUGGAGUCUCAGAUCACCCCAAACUCAGCCCUCCCAUGCUGAGCUCCUCAUCUGCCUCCGGACACCUGCUUCUCUUCCUGUGGUUCCAGACAGUAUCCAGCCAGCCCCUGGAGCCAGAAGGCUGGGUAUCAUCCUAGAGCUUUGCUCUUCCAAAUACCCUAAACCUUCCUCAAUAUCUCCUGAUUCCCUCCUCUCCUCUCUGUCCCUACGGCCAUGCCGUGUGCAGGUCCCCUUCAGGGUGUCCCAGGGCACUGUGACAUCAUGUACUCCCUCCUCGGUGCUGUCCUGCAGUCUCUCUCCUGUACCAGCUUCACCAAAACUUUUACCUCUACCACUCCUGCCAGCUGCUCUCACCAAGGUCACCAAUGACCUCCAGGAGGCUAAAUCCAGCAGGAAAUCCUGUUGGCUCUACUAUCAGAAUACAUCCAGUGUCCAACCACGUCUCACCACCUCACGAGCUAACAACCUGCUCCCAGCCACCAUCACCUCUUGCCUGGAGUAGGACAGGAGCUUCCCGCCAGUGUCCAUACUUCUGCCCUUGCCUGCUUAGGGUAUAAGUCGGACCAUGUCACUCCACUCAGAAGGCUCCCAUGCCUCUCCAUCUCACUCCUAAUAAAAGCCAAAAUCUUUACAGUGACCCACGUUCAGAGGGUGGUAGACUGCAGAGAUCUGGAGGGUCCUGCAUGCAUCACGGCUUCUCCCUAGGAGCCACAGCUCAGAGCUGUUUAAACCCAGGGAAGUUGGCUGGGAAGACAGACUUGCAGGGAGGUGGGAAGCUGAGGGCUGUGAGAACUCAGCCUAUGACUGCACUCUUGGGCGAGGUGAUGUCUGGAGUGGAGACGGGCCAGAUGGGUGCUACGUUUGCUGAAACUUGGCCCUGAGGCACUGGAUAGUGAGGUGGCAGGGGCCACUCCUAGGCCAGCUAAGUGGCUCAUGGUCCAUUCACUCAGUGGGAAACACAGGAAGUGAGAUAGUUGGGUGGGGGGAGGAGGAAUUCAGUUUAAAUGUAUUUGAGGACUCCAGCAGGAAAGGCAACACAAGGUAGCUGUUAAGGGCACAGAUUUUGAACUCAGAAGCAAUAGUAAAUUAUCCACCUUAGCGUGCAUUAUCUCCCUCCUUGUUAGAUGAGCAUAUUAUGGCCUAGAAUAAAAGUCCACUUCUCCCAGCCUCCCUUGCAGAUUGGUGUGGCCAUGUGACUAAGUUAUGGCUUCCAACUUAUCACGGUCAUAAUGGCUGGAGCUCCGGCAGCUAUCUUGGGCCAUGAGGUGACUUUGAAGGUAGAGGAUAUGAAACAGAAAGCUAAAAACCUGGGCCCUUGAUGACAUAUGGAAUUUCCACACUGGCCCUGGAAGCCUAUAUUCAGAUUACUUUUAUGCAAGAGAGAAAUAAACUUGUACAUUGUUUUAAGACACCAUUAGUUUGGGAUCUUCUGCUAUAUGAAAAUUGUCCUAUUUUAAUUGGCAGACGACUUACUUUAAGACUGAGUAAUACCCCUCCAGAAUAUAUCAUGUCAAAUGCCUGGAAUCUGCGAAUGUGGCCAUAUUUAGAGAAAGCAUCUUUGCAGAUGUAAUUAAGUUAAGGAUCUUGAGAUGAUAUCAUCCUGGAUCAUCUGGGUGGGCCCUAAGUCCAGUGACAAGCAUCCUUAUAAGAGACACAUGGAGAAGGAGGUGCUGUAACCGCAGAGGCAGAGACUGGAGUGAUUGGCCAGAAGGCCACAAAUCAAGGAAAACCAACAACAGCCAGAAGCUGAAAGAGGCAAGGAAGGGUGAUCCCUAGAGCCCCAGAGGGAGUACAGUCCUGCCAACACCUUGAACUUGAACUCCUGACUCCAGAACUGUGAGAGAAUACCACCCAGUUUGUGGUAAUUUGCUAUGGCGCCCGCAGGAAUCUAAUACAGGAGUCAUCAACACAAAGAAGGUGAUUAAAACAAUGAAAAUGGAUAAGGGUCCCCAGCGAGAGUUCAGCCUCCCGGUGAAGCAACACUUAAGGCUGGCAGAGCAGAGUCUGCAGUGGAGCUCACUGGGCAGCGGCCAGAAAGAAGGACAACCAAGGUGAUUACCGGGUGGGGUGAGUAAGAGUGUCAAAUGCUGCUCAGGUCAGAGCUGAGAUGUGGCCAGAGGACUGAGCCAUUUAACAUCAAGGAGGACACUUCUGACUUUCACCAGAGCAUUUUCAGUGAAGUGAUAGGGAUAGAAGGGAGGUGAUGGAGGAUUUGGGGUGGUGAGUGGACAGCUGAGAUGAGGAAACAGCAAAUGUCGAACACGUGUACCAGUUUGGUCGUGAAGUGAUAGAAAGAGUGUGGCUAGAGAAAGCAGUGGAGUCCUGAGUAGUGUACCCAGUUAACACACUUGGCUGCUAACUGAAAGGUUGGAGACUUGAGUCCACCCAGAGGUGCCUCAGAGGGAAGCUUCGUGAGCUACUUCUGAAAAAUCAGCCAUUAAGAGCUCCGUGGAGCACAGUUCUACUCCGACACACGUGGGAUCACCAUGAGUCAGUGUCCACUCAAUGGCAACUUUUUUUUGGUUUUUAAGAGAAAGCAGAAGGAUUUUCUUUGGAUGGUAGAGACUUGAGGAUGCUCAAAUGCUGACGAGAAGGACACAGGAGAGAAGGAAAGGUUGGAGACACAGGAUGGUUGCAAAAAGAAGGGAAGGGUUUCCAAGCACCAGGGGAGGAACAUCCCUUCCAUUGUCACAGAAGAACAAUGGAAAGAAAAGGACCCAGAGCAGGUAAGUCUAUGGGUUUGGUGGCAGGAUGUUGUGGGAUCAUCCACCCAAUGGCUUCUGUUCAAUUCCUGAUAUCAAAGACAAGGUUACCUGCCCAGAUGGAGGAAAAGAUGGUGGAAUAGAAGGUUGCCCAAAAAAAGUGAAAAAGGUUUUAAAUAGCCUUUGAGAAGCUUGAUCCCUAUUGAGGGCCAGUUGAACUCUUGGUGGCCAAGAAUUUAGUGGUGCCAGCCUACGUGAUUGUGCAAGGGUCUCCAGCAUCUUUUGAGAUCUCAGGCUUGGUCUAGGGAAGGCUGAUGAUGGAUGAGUCUACACUGGAAUUUUCUGGGCAGGUGAGAUGCCAAGCCGAACGGACUAGUGGGAUGCUGUUGAGAGAGUGAUUGACAAGAUGUACCAGGCCAUAAACUGUUGAUGGGGAAAGAAGACAAGAUGGGAAGAAGAGAAGCUGGCAGUAUGAGUUGGAAGGAGAGCAGUUACGGCCAAAGAGAAAUGGAUGCAUUUUCAACGUCGGGGUGGAUGGUUCUGAGUGACGUGACCAGAGAAAGUUCGAGGGGUGGAGUGCAGUAGAUGUAACAGUCCCUGGAGACGAGGCAGUCGAGGAACUGAGGAGGGAGGAUGGUGGGUAGUCAUCACAUAAUUUACUGUACAUUUUUGGAAGUUACAGGAGGCGUUAUAAAUUGAUCAUCUACCCUGGAAUAGCAACAUGAGCCUGGACUGUCCCAAGCAAACCAAGACACAGUUAUCCUAAUGCUUAGCCACUGGGGCUGAUGGCGGGCUUCGGGAUGGAGAAGACGGGGCCCUGGUGCCAAACCACCUGGCGACUGGGGGCGCAGUGAGUGAGUGCACAGCUGAAGAAGGUGGUGUGGCCAAUGUCGGGAGUCUUACCCAGUGGGAACUUUAGAAGAAGGUGGAGGAGCCUGCGUGGGGAGGAAGAAGCCCCACCUCCAGACCCUCCUGAGAGUUAUCUAUCACACUUCCCAUGUUCAGAAAGGGAAACCAAGGUCAAGUGCGGUUUAGGUGAUUGCCCAGAGGCUACAAACUGAGAAAGCUCCUGAAGUAAGGCUGCCAGAUAAAAUACAGCAUGCCUAGUUAAAUGUGAAUUUCAGAUAGACUACAUACCAUUUUUUAGUAUAAGUAUGUCCCAGAAACUGUGUGGGAUAUACUUAUACUAAAAAUGCCUGCGUUGCUUGUCUGGAAUUCAAAUUUCACUGGACAUCUAGUUUGUUGUUGUUGUGCUUUUUUGGUUUUUUGUUUUGUUAAAUCUGGAAACCCUGUCCAGGAGGAAGGGGAGCAGGCCAGAGUGGUUAUAUAAAUCGGGGGGGCUUUGUUAGGGGCCCAGCAGGCUCAGAGGGCAGGUCAGGCCUGGGCAUGACUGGGAAAGGGACAUCAGCUGGAAGAGGGCUACCAGUCUGCAGAGGGGCUCAAAGCGUGUCCACUGUGGAAGGCAGAGAGACUGACAGAAUCACCAGGGGACAGGAGGACUGUCCUGCAGAAGAUUGGCUGUCUGCUCAUAACCCUGCAUACUCAUGUGGGAGCAGAUGGAGCCUUGGGCCCGCAGAGGGUAUUCACCUCCUUUGUUCUAAUGGGAUCCUCCCCCAGCCCUGGGAAGAAGGCAUGGCACAGAUUCCUAUGCCCAGAACACAGACAAGGAAGCAGAGGUUCCGGGAGGUUUUGCUGGGGCCCUGGAGUCGAGGUUGACAAAGGAAUGGGUCUCAGGUGCUCAUGCAGAGUGGGGAAGGAGCCAUGGCAACCCUGGACCCACCCCCAGGCACUGGUGAGCAUGGUGCCAAGGCUGUGCCCUGGCCGAGGGUGAGUGAAGCUGGCCUUCCUCCCAGUAAGGGGGACGGGGUGUGGGGGAGGGCAGUAGCCUGACAGUCAUUGGGGGAUUGGGAAGGAGGGAGAGGCAGGGAGGAGCGAGGUGACCAAAGCUCAGAACCAGGUGGUAAAUCAUUAGCUUCGCCAGGACACAGAAGAUGGAUGGACUCUUACUACAAAAUAAUGAAGUUAAAUACAGCAAAACAAAAAUACAGUAAAGUAAAAUAAAAUAGGAAUAAAGGUACCAAAACAUCUGAUGAAGGUGCAGGAGACCCGGGACCUCCCGAGGGCUAUGGCCGGAGCAGGCUCAAGGGCAAAGUCCUUGGCUACACACAGGGGUGCCCAGGGGCAGCAGGGGACAGUGGUGUCAGUUGGCAGGGCUGCACACCUCACUCUGCCGCCUGCUCACUCUGUGCCUUUCAGCAUCUCUUAUUCUCUGGGACCUCACUGUCCUGUGCCAGAGCACGGGGGUGGGCUAGCCAGCAGAGCCCCCCACAGUCUGGCUCGGCAGAGGGGCACGGGGAGAUACCCAAGCCAGCUUCCAGUUGUCAGCAGACACCAAGGCCUUGCUUCCCGGGUGCUGGGCUCAGGGCAUGCAUUCGCCAGCAGGUAUCGAUCCCUUACUGUCUGUGUACCAGGCGGCAUGCUGUGUGCUGGACGAAAGAGACAAGGUCCCUGUGAGUGAGCAAAUAAAUGAGCAGAAUGAUUUCAGAUGGUACAAAGGGCCAGGUGAGAAAUGAAAGGGUCGUGUUGUGAGGAGCUACCAGGUGGCCAGGAAAGGCCUCCCUGGGGAGGCGACGUUUGAGUUGAGGCCUGAUCCCUGCAGUGGGCAAAUAUUUGGGGCUGAGUGGUCCAGGCAGUGGGACCAGCUAGUGGAAAGACCCUAAGGGCUGGACAAGUCGGGAUCUUAGAAGAACAAAAAGAAGGCCAGAGACUGGAAAGAGAGUAGGUGGCACAAGGUCAGAGAAGGAGGCAGAUCGCACAGGGCCCUGGAGACAGGUAAACAAACAAACAAACAAACAAACAAAAACAUUGCUGUGGAGUCGCUUCUGACUCACGUCAACCCCACGUGUGUCAGAGCAGAGCUGCACCCCACUGGGUUCUCAGGGGCGGUUCGCACUGGACUGCUCAUCUAAAGGUUGGCGGUUCAAACCCACCCAGUGGUGCCAUGAAAGGAGGGCCUGGUGAUCUGCUUCCAUAAAGAUGACAGCCGAGUCCGUCUGAGACGCAUCUGCUGGUCUCUCACUGUCCAGAGCAGAGAAGGGUGAAGAGAACCAGACUCCAGGCAGCGAAUGGUCCAAAGGCCUAAAAGACCCCGUAAACCACAGCCUGCACCGCCCCGCGUGGACUCGCUACGGUUUUCUUCACUUUCAGCUUGAGCUUGCAGAGGAGCACUGGAUGGUCUGUUCCACGGCCGGCCCCUGGCCUUGCUCUGACUGAGGAUAUUGAGCUUUUCCUUUGUCUCUUUCCACAGAUGCAGUCAGUUUGAUUUCUGUGUGCUCCACCUGGUGAGGUCCAUGUGUACAGUCGCCAUUUAUGUUGGCGAAAGAAGGUAUUUGCAACGAAGAAGUCGCUGGUCUUGCAAAAUUCUAUCAUUCGAUCGCCGGCAUUGUUUCUAUCACCAAGGCCAUAGCUUCCAACUACUGAUCCUUCUUGUUUCCAACUUUCGCAUUCCAAUCGCCAGUAAUUAUCAGUGCAUCUUGACUGCGUGUGCGAUCAAUUUCAGACUGCAGCAGCUGAUAAAAGUCUUCUAUUUCUUCACCUUUGGCCCUAGUGGUUGGUGCGUAAACUUGAAUAACAGUCGCAUUAACUGGUCUUCCUUGUAGGCGGAUGGAUAUUACCCUAACACUGACAGCGUUGUACUUCAGGAUAGAUCUUGAAACGUUCUUUUUGACGGCGGAUGCAACACUGUUCCUCUUUGAGUUGUCAUUCCCAGCAUAGUAGACUGUACGACUGUCCAAUUCCAAAUGGCCAGUACCAGUUCAUUUCAGCUCACUAAUGCCUACGGUAUCGAUGUUUAUGCGUUUCACUUCAUUUUUGACGAUUUCAAAUUUUCCUAGAUUCAUACUUCACACAUUCCAGGUUCCCAUUAUUAAUGGAUGUUUGCAGCUGUUUCUUCUCAUUUUGAGUCUUGCCACAUCAGCAAAUGAAUGUCUGGAAAGCUUUACUCCAUCCACGUCAUUAAGGUCAACUCUACUUUGAGGAAGCAGCUCUUUCCCAGCCAUCUUUUGAGUGCCUUCCAACCCGGGGGGCUCAUCUUCCAGCACUGUAUCAGACAAUGUUCCGCUGCUAUUCAUAAGGUUUUCACUGGCUAAUGCUUUUCAGAAGUAGACUGCUGGGUCCUUCUUCCUAGUUUGUCUUAGUCUGGAAGCUCAGCUGAAACCUGUCCUCCGUGGGUGACCCUGCUGGUAUCUGAAUACCGGUGGCAUAGCUUCCAGCAUCACAGCAACACACAAGCCCCCACAGUACGACAAACUGACAGACACGAGAGCCAAAAUAUGACCUUGAGUAUAUCCCACCUGAAUUUAGAGACCAUCUGAAGAAUACAUUUGACGCAUUGAACACUAGUGACUGAAGACCAGAUGAGUUGUGGAAUGAGAUCAAGGACAUCAUCCAUGAAGAAAGCAAGAGGUCAUUGAAAAGACAGGAAAGAAAGAAAAGACCAAGAUGGAUGUCAGAGGAGACUCUGAAACUUGCUCUCGAACAUCGAGCAGCUAAGGCAAAAGAAAGAAUUGAUGAAGUAAAAGAACUGAACAGAAGAUUUCAAAGGGCGGCUCGAGAAGACAAAGUAAAGUAUUAUAAUGAUGUGCAAAGAGCUGGAGAUGGAAAACCAAAAGGGAAGAACAUGCUUGGCUUUUCUCAAGCUGAAAGGAUUGAAGAAAAAAUUCAAGCCCCGAGUUGCGAUAGUGAGGGAUUCCAUGGGGAAAAUAUUAAACUAUGCAGGAAGCAUCAAAAGAAGAUGGAAGGAAUACACAGAGUCAUUAUACCAAAAAGAAUUAGUCGAUGUUCAGCCAUUUCAAGAGGUGGCAUAUGAUCAGGAACUGAUGGUACUGAAGGAAGAAGUCAAAGCUGCUCUGAAGGCAUUGGCGGAAAACAAGGCUCCAGGAAUUGACGGAAUAUCAGUUGAGAUGUUUCAACAAACAGAUGCAGCGCUGGUGGUGCUCACUCAUCUAUGCCAAGAAAUAUGGAAGACAGCUUCCUGGCCAACUGACUGGAAGAGAUCCAUAUUUAUGCCUAUUCCCAAGAAAGGUGAUCCAACCAAAUGUGAAAAUUAUAGAACAAUAUCAUUAAUAUUGCACGCAAGCAAAAUUUUGCUGAAGAUCAUUCAAAACCGGCUGCAGCAGUAUAUCAACAGGGAACUGCCAGAAAUUCAGGCCGGUUUCAGAAGAGGACGUGCAACCAGGGAUAUCAUUGCUGAUGACAGAUGGAUCUUGGCUGGAAGCAAAGAAUACCAGAAGGAUGUUUACCUGUGUUUUAUUGACCACACAAAGGGAUUUGACUAUAUGGAUCAUAACAAACUAUGGAUAACAUUGCAAAGAACGGGAGUUUCAGAACAAUUAAUUGUGCUCAGGAGGAAAACCUUUACAUAGAUCAAGAGGUAGUUGUUCGGACAGAACAAGGGGAUACUGAUUGGUUUAAAGUCAGGAAAGGUGUGCGUCAGGGUUGUAUUCUUUCACCAUACCUACUCAAUCUGUAUGCUGAGCAAAUAAUCAGAGAAGCUGGACUACAUGAAGAAGAACGGGUCAUCAGGAUUGGAGGAAGACUCAUUAACAACCUGCGUUAUGCAGACGACACAACCUUGCUUGCUGAAAGUGAAGAGGACAUGAAGCACUUAUUAAUGAAGAUCAAAGACCACAGCCUUCAGCAUGGAUUACAACUCAACAUAAAGAAAACAAAAAUCCUCACAACUGGACCAAUGAGCAACAUCACGAUAAAUGGAGAAAAGAUUGAAGUUGUCGAGGAUUUUAUUUUACUUGGAUCCACAAUCAACAGCCAUGGAAGCAGCAGCGAAGAAAUCAAAAGACCCAUUGCAUUGGGUAAAUCUGCUGCAAAGGACCUCUUCAAAAUGUUGAAGACCAAAGAUGUCACCUUGAAGACUAAGGUGUGCCUGACCCAAGCCAUCAUAUUUUCAGUCGCAUCAUAUGCAUGUGAAAGCUGGACAAUGAAUAAGGAAGACUGAAGAAGAAUUGACGCCUUUGAAUUGUGGUGCUGGCGAAGAAUAUUGAAUAUACCAUGGACUGCCAAAAGAACAAACAAAUCUGUCUUAGGAGAAGUACGACCAGAAUGCUCUUAAGAAGCAAGGAUAGUGAGACUGUGUCUUACAUACUUUGGACAUGUUGUCAGGAGGGAUCAGUCCCUGGAGAAGGACAUCUUGCUUGGCAGAGUACAGGGUCAGCAGAAAAGAGGAAGACCCUCAACAAGGUGGAUUGACACAGUGGCUGCAACAACGAGCUCAAGCAUAACAACGAUUGUAAGGGUGGCUCAGGACCAGGCAGUGUUUCGUUCCGUUGUGCUUAGGGUUACUAUGAGUAGGAAUCAACUCGACGGCAUGUAACAACAAUAACAACAACACAACCCCCAGACCAGAAGAACUAGAUGGUGCCCAGGUAGCACCACCGACCGCUCUGGCUGAGGUCACAACAGAGGGUCCUGGACAGAGCGGGAGAAAAAACUGUAGAACAGAAAACCAAAUUCACAAAAAAGACCAGACUUACUGGUCUGACAGAGACUGGAGGAAUCCCAGAGACUGUGGCUUUAAGACACCUUUCUGAACUGGAACUGAUGGCCAGAGACCACCUUCCCACCAAACCAUAGACAGACCCAUAAAAUAAACAAUAACACCCAAAAGGAAGGUGUUCCUUAGAACAAUCAAUUAUGUGAGAUCAGAAGGGCAACAUUUGCCCAAAAGCAAAGAUGAGAAGGCAGGAAGGGAUAGGAAAUCAGGACUAAAGGAAAUGGGGAAACCAGAGAAGAAAUGGGGAGGGUGCUGACCCGUUGGGGGAAGGAAACCAAAGUUUUGGAACACUCCUUUACAAACUAUCAAAUGGAAAGUGAUUUGCUCUGUAAACUUUCACCUAAUGGACAAUUAAAAAAAAAAAAAGGUUACAGCCAAGAAAACCCCAUGGAGCAGUUCUACUGUGUAACACGUGAGCUGCUAUGGGUCAGAACUGACUUGACAGCAACCAACAACAGCAACAAUAGAAAUAGACCGCCAAGCCUUUCUUCCAUAGGGCCGCUGGGUGGAUUUGAACCACCAACUUUUCGGUUAAUAGCUGACCACAAAACAGUUGCACCACCCAGGGACCUCAGGGGCAGGGUGAAGACUCCAGACCUGCUUAGAGUGCUCUGGAAACUACUGGAGGAUUUUUUUUUUUUUUUUUUUUUUACUUUAGAUGAAGGUUUGCAGACCAAACUAGUUUCUCAUCAAACAGUUAGUACACACAUUGUUGUAUGACAUCAGUUAACAACCCCAUAACAUGUCAACACUCUCUUUUCUCAAUCUUGGGUUCCCUGUUACCAGCUUUCCUGUCCCCUCCUGCCUUCCAGUCCCUGUCCCAGGGCUGGCGCGCCCCUUUAGUCUUGUUUUGUUCCUGGGCCUGUUCAAUCUUUGGCUGAAGGGUGAACCUCAGGAGUGACCUCAUUACUGAGCUGAAAGGGUGUCUGGGGGCCAUACUCGCAGGGUUUCUCCAGUCUUUGUGAGACCAGCAAGUCUGGUCUUUCUUUUUGAGCUAGAAUUUUGUUCUACAUUUUUCUCCAGGUUUGUCCAGGACCCUCUACUGUGAUCCCUGUCAGAGCAGUCGGUGGUGGUAGCCGGGCACCAUCUCGUCGUGCUGGACUCAGUCUGGUGGAAGUCGUGGUAGAUGUGGUCCAUUUGGACUAAUCUUUCCCUUGUAUCUUUAGCUUUCUUCAUCCUUCCUUGCUCCCAAAGGAAUGAGACCAGUGGAGUAUCCUAGAUGGGUGCUCACAGGCUUUUAAAACCCCAGAUGCUACUCACCAAAGUAAAAUGUACAACAUAUUCUUUAUAAUCUAUGUUAUGUCAAUGGAGCUAGAUGUUCGCUGAGACCAUUUCGCCGAGACCAUGGUCUCCACAGCCCUCAGCCCAGCAAUUGGGUCCCUCAGGGUACUGGAUGAUUUUUGAGCAAGAGAGUAAUAAAAAAAACCCAAACCAAACCUGGUGCCGUCGAGUCGAUUCCAACUCAUGGUGACCCUAUAGGACAGAGUACAACUGCUCCAUAGAGUUUCCAAGGAGCACCUGGUGGAUUUGAAUAGCUGACCCUUUGGUUAGCAGCUGUAGCACUUAACCACUAUGCCACCAGGUUUCCAAGGGAGUAAUAACAUCUAAUAAAUGAUUUUUUAAAACAGUGGCUUCAAACUUUCAGUCUGUCCUUAAUAGUAAGAAGUAAGAAAUAUGAUAGUUAUAUCAUGACACUCCACUUAUGUAAACGUCUGUAUGCUUUCUUAUAAAUGAAGCAAAGUAUCCAAAACAGUAACUACUUUGUGCAAAGCGUUCUGAUAGUCUCAAUUUUUCUGUUCUAUUAAAAUAAGUCAGGUCACAACCCAUUAAAUUACUUUCACUACCACCAAUGGGUUGUAACAUACAGUUUGCACAGCUUUUUAAAAUAUUCCCCUGGCUACUGUUAUAAAAUAGGCUGGGGGGAGGUGGGCGAGAGGAGAAGCAGAAAGAGCACUGAGGAGGACAGUGGGUGGGACGAGGAUGCUGGUAGUGGGGAGAGAGGCUGGUGGGCAGGUAUGGGGUCUACUUUAGAAGCAGCACAGACAGGGAUGACUGCGUAAGGGGAGAGAGGGAGGAAUUGGCUAUGACUUAGUUGUUGACUUGGGUUACUGAUCGCUGAUGUGGGCGACCCUCAAGGAUGAGCAGUCUGCAGAAGACCAAGAGCUCCUUUUGGCCAUGUCAGCUCCAGCGCGAUGGCACCCGUCUCAGUGGUGCCUACUCGAGGCUCAGGGAGCUUGGAGUCACCUGGAGAGAAGGCACACAACAGCUAGAAAGCAACCCCCGGGUGAAAUAAGUUAAAGCUAACGUGAAAACUUAGCUAACAUGUAGUCGGGGUUUACUCUGGCAGGCGCUGUGCUUAACAGCGUGACACACAGUCGUUUAAUUCUCAGAGUGGUCCUAUGAAAUAAGUGCUAUUACUAGCUACAUUUAACAGAGGAGGCACAGAGAGGUUACUUUCCUUGUCCCCAGUCACACACCAAUUAGGUGCCAGAGCUGAGGUUUGAACCAGGUCUGCCUGAUUGCGAAUGCACCAUACAGCCCUGUCAGGGAACAAGGCGCUCGAUGCGUCUAGUACAACUGACAUGGGAGAAAGGUGUAUGUGGACUUGAGGAGCC